ACAGCAAUAUAUACAUAUUUUUCUCUAUCCGCUCUGCUUGCAUUACUCGUAUCCAUGGAUAAAAUGGACGACAGAAAAGACGAGAAGACACAUUGAUUGGGUUCCGGCAACAGGCGUUCAAAUAGCCUGUCACGUACAAAUCCGGAACAGGGGUGAAAAAGAAAGCGACAUGUCGCGUUCUGCUUUCCAGUUUGGAGAUUCGUGAGCCGAGAAUCACAUGAUGGUGGGCGAAACACACGGUCGGCGGAUAAGUCGAGCACGGUCCCAAGUAGAGAGAGAAAGAGAGACUGGGGGGAGCACGCACAACUGGCCUUACUAGCGAUGAGAUGGAUCGAUGCGGAUGAGCUGAUGGGAUUCUUCCCAGAGAGCUAUUGGAUUCCCUUCUAAAAUGAGCUGCGGACAGCCUCGCCUGGCAUUAGAUUCUGAGGUCGAUACAUGAUGGAGUGAGAUCAAUGCCUUGUGCACACAACAUGCUCGCCGAAUUGCCCUUGUGAAAAGUAAAGUGGUGUACAUCUCAAUAUAUGCUUGAUCUAUAUUCUCUCUUUUGUUGCCAACCAGGACAUGCUGAUGGCAGCAGUAACAGGAAAAAAGAAAAGAUAGACAAGUUACACAGUGCAAGCAGUGUCCUACCUACAGAAUGAUCGACGCAAGUGUAGGUAGAUCAAAUGUUGCUUUCUGAGUGGUCUUCUGCAAAUGAUGAAAUGCUUUUUCCCCUUAUCCUUUAAUCUAUUGAUUAGGUUUUCGAUAAAAAAAACAUUUCACCGUGAA